rnacentral:rRNA from 1 species
GUCUGGUGGGUAGUUUGACUGGGGCGGUCUCCUCCUAAAGAGUAACGGAGGAGUACGAAGGUGCGCUCAGCGUGGUCGGAAAUCACGCGUAGAGUAUAAAGGCAAAAGCGCGCUUAACUGCGAGACCCACAAGUCGAGCAGGUACGAAAGUAGGUCUUAGUGAUCCGGUGGUUCUGUAUGGAAGGGCCAUCGCUCAACGGAUAAAAGGUACUCUGGGGAUAACAGGCUGAUACCGCCCAAGAGUUCAUAUCGACGGCGGUGUUUGGCACCUCGAUGUCGGCUCAUCUCAUCCUGGGGCUGAAGCAGGUCCCAAGGGUAUGGCUGUUCGCCAUUUAAAGAGGUACGCGAGCUGGGUUUAGAACGUCGUGAGACAGUUCGGUCCCUAUCUACCGUGGGCGCUGGAAAUUUGAGAGGAUCUGCUCCUAGUACGAGAGGACCAGAGUGGACGAACCUCUGGUGUACCGGUUGUGACGCCAGUCGCAUCGCCGGGUAGCUAUGUUCGGAAGGGAUAACCGCUGAAAGCAUCUAAGCGGGAAGCCUACCUCAAGAUAAGAUUUCCCUAGGACUUUAUGUCCUCUAAAGAGCCGUUCGAGACUAGGACGUUGAUAGGUUGGAUGUGGAAGCAUAGUGAUAUGUGAAGCUGACCAAUACUAAUUGCUCGUGAGGCUUGACUAU